AGAGCAUGCUGGGUAGAGGUGAAAGGUCAGAGUCAGAAAAAUACUUCCAAAGCAAGCUCCCCAAGGAAAAUGGGCACCCAGGGAAAAGUGAUCAGAUGCAAAGCUGCUGUGCUCUGGAAGCCUGGGGCCCCACUUGCCAUUGAGGAGAUAGAAGUGGCCCCACCAAAAGCAAAGGAAGUUCGAAUAAAGAUUGUGGCCACAGGAAGCUGUGGUACCGAUAUAAAAAGUGUGGACACAGAAUACUUUUCUCAGUUUUGCCCCAUCAUUAUGGGCCAUGAAGGCGUUGGGAUAGUCGAGAGUGUGGGGGAAGACGUACGCACGGUAAGAACAGAUUUCGCUGCUUGGCAGGAACAAGCAACAGGCAGUCAACGAACUCACCCCAAGCAGACACUCUGAUCUCCCCUCCUGAUUUGGAAACAGAAAUAUAACAAGAGAAGAAGAAGAAGAAGAAGAAGAAGAAGAAGAAGAAGAAGAAGAAGAAGAAGAAGAAGAAGAAGAAGAAGACAACGACUAUGUUUUCUUUUCUUUCCCUUUCCACACUGGCGGAGGUACAACACAGAGCACACCUGUGGGCAAUCAGGCCCCGAUCCUGGCACUUAUUCUGUGAGCAUGGCAUCCGUACUACUUUAACUCUGGACCCACAGUGGGAGUCAGGGCAGAGAGCAGCAGAUGCAGUUUUUAAAGGCACAUAACGAAACUGCGUGCCGUGGUAUUCCAAAUAUGCCUUACAAAGUGGGCAGAUCUGGGGCCAGCUCCUAGAGUCAGUCACGGCCGGAUGUGGACACUGAAAAUAUCUGCUUGUGAUCGGGCACAGUUAAAAGUGGAACUAACUCUCCAUUAUCACGUGUUCUUGAUGCUUUGCUGUUGCCAUCCUAAGAGACAAGACUACUCUGCUAUUUCAUCCUAACCGAGCACUUUGCCUUUCUAGGUGAUAAAGUUAUCAUGUUAUAUGUACCACAGUGUGGAGAAAGUGGUACUUGCCUGAACUCCAAGAACAGCAUUUGUGCAGAAGUUAGGUAGCUCUUUAUUACUAUUUUUUAAAAGUCUAAUUCAGUUCCAAUUGAAGAGAUUUAAGUUUUUUUAAUAAAAAGUACAAUUUGUUUCCUUUCAUCUAUCAAAGACUGGCAGAAACACAUCUGACAUCUGAAGGCACCGGCAGAAUUACCUGCAAUGGGAAGUUAGUGCAGCAAUAUGGUACUCUGGGCACCUUAUCUGAAUACACAGUCCUAAGGGAAAUCUCAGUUGCCAAGGUUGACGAAGGUGCUUCCCUAGAGAAGGCGUGCAUAAUUAGCUGUGGGUUUGCCACUGGAUAUGGAGCUGCAAUCAACUCUGCCAAAGGGAGGAGCAUUUACAUCCAUUGAGAAAUAGAAUUAAUGUGAAAAGAAGGUGAAACACCUCUCACAUCAGAGUACCGCCUGGUCAUACCACCUGAUGAAGCAUAAAUUUACCUCUAGGCACUCUUAAAUUUAUUGAAUGAUUUGAUUGCCUGCACAGACACCCCAUGCUAUUCAGGAGUACAGAUAUAUAGACUUUAAAUAUAACACAAUUAUAACACAACUGUAUCUUUCCAUACUCCAGUUCAUUUCAUUCAAUGAGCAGUGGUGAAGCUUUUCUCUGUUCAUCUGGAAAACAAAACCCCUCAUCAAGCUUACAUUCUAACUGAGCAGUAUAUUAAUUAAUGAGAAGUAAAGCUGGGGGCGGUGCUAAAUGUGUACAUCAAGGACAGAAUACAUGCCUGGUGUGCACAAGGUCCUGGAUUCAAUCUGUGUGUAGCAAUCAAUACAAGAACUAGCAGAGCGGUGACUGCACGGGCCAGGGUAUGGGUUACAGUUAAAUUCCUCCUCCUCCUGAAAUAUUACUCUAACCUCCCCAGCUCAGUUCUUUCAGGGCCAUUGAUAUUUAAGCCUCUCUGCCGUGCGCUGUCCUUUAGUCUCAAUGCUACUCAUAGAGAUUGGGAUGUGUCUUAGCUGUGUGUCGAUGUGAGGAGACACCCACAACAAUCACAUUUUGAGGAAGGAAGGUUUAUCAUAUUCAUAACCUCAGACAUGUGGUCCACGCUGGUUUGGCGCUGAGGUGUUGGGGUGUCAGGGGGCAGUAAGUCGUGGCAGGGAAUACUGAGUGGGACAAAACUGAUUAUCUCAGGUAUCCAGGAACAGGAUGAAAAACUAUGCAUAAGAUACAAAAAGAAAGGAGAGCUGGAGCCCUAGAAUCCCUGUAGGGCAUGCGCCCCAAUGUUUUCCCACCACCGGGCUCCUUCAGGAGGUUCUGCUACUUACUUACGACGUCACGGGCUGAGGAGCAAGCUUUUCUCACACGUGUCUUUAAGGCGUGUUCAAAAGGCAAACUCUAAUAGGUGGAAGAGGUUCGGUUUAAACUGGUGCCAAACUGCAUGAUGCUCCGUGAAAAGAAGGAAGGAAAGAAGGAAAGAAGGAAGGGAAGGAGGAAGGGAGGGAGGAAAGGAAGAAGGAAGGAAAGAGGGGGGAACAAAAGAAUAAAGAAACAAGAAUUGACUUCAUCCGGUAAGCGUUAACUUUGAAGUGAUUUGGAGUUCCCAGAUACCCAGAAGAAAAGAGAGAGUUUUCAAGGAGGUGGAGGUAAGUGAAAGAACUCAAACCCCUCCACAACUAAGAAAUAAUCUGCUCCAGUAAAGGAUCCAGGCGGAUUUCAUUGUGUUACUUCCACUCCUGCUAAUUCCUUCCUGAGAUUUUUUUUUCUGAUAGUUUUUAUUUUUAAUGCUGUAUAUAAAUACUAUCUACUAAGAUAAAUAAUUCUCUCUGUUCAUCGUUCCU